rnacentral:pre_miRNA from 1 species
UUUGGAUCUGUGAUGUAUUUCAUUAAGAAUUUGAGUUGUAUUUUUUUGAGAAUUUGUGAUGUGAAUGAUUCAUUGAUUUGGGA